CCUACGGGAGGCAGCAGUGGGGAAUAUUGGGCAAUGGACGCAAGUCUGACCCAGCAACGCCGCGUGAAGGAAGAAGGCUCUCGGGUUGUAAACUUCUUUUAAGGGGGAAGAGCAGAAGACGGUACCUCUUGAAUAAGCCACGGCUAACUACGUGCCAGCAGCCGCGGUAAUACGUAGGUGGCAAGCGUUGUCCGGAUUUACUGGGUGUAAAGGGCGUGCAGCCGGCGAGACAAGUCAGUUGUGAAAUCCACGGGCUCAACCCGUGAACUGCAUUGGAAACUGUUUCCCUUGAGUGUCGGAGAGGUAAUCGGAAUUCCUUGUGUAGCGGUGAAAUGCGUAGAUAUAAGGAAGAACACCAGUGGCGAAGGCGGAUUACUGGACGAUAACUGACGGUGAGGCGCGAAAGCGUGGGGAGCAAACAGGAUUAGAUACCCCAGUAGUC
rnacentral:rRNA from 1 species